CAGGCUACAUGAAAGCAAGCCAGAGAGAAUGUGGAGAAUGAAUAUGCAGGCAGCUACAAAGGCAGAACUGAACAGGUUUGAUUCUUCCCUAAUUCUUCCACAGCCUUCCCAUACAGCCAUCAGCAAAUCACAAUAAAAGCUCGUUUCCUCAUUCACAAAACAGCAGUUUGUCUUACAGAGAGGUGUAGGGCUAGCUGAGUCAAAGCUGGUAAAAAUCAGUGGGAAGGUGCUGUAGGAAGCUUCACCCCCACUGCAUUGCCCAGCCUCCCCAAGUCACAGCAGUACAUUCAGUGUGCAAUUCUGUGAGGCCCCUUUAGGCAGAGCUGCAAAAGAGGGGCAGUGGGACAUUAAAAUCACUCUAAUUGGGUACUAAGCAAUUAGUGGGGCAGGAAGAAGUACCUUGACAUGGCUUUCCUCUUGCAGUGUGCUCUGUCUUCCACAAACUGCUACAGCUAAUGCUCGUUUCCAAGAAGUGCACGCAGCAGAAGCUCUGCCCACUGUUCUGUGUGCCAUUCACUGCAGGGCUGCUGCUGCCAGGUGCUGGUGGUACGUGUGAUCUGUGCUGGCUUUGUGCUCUGAAGUAAGCUGGAUGGAUCUGUACCUGUUUGGUUUUUUAUUUCUCACUCUUGGUCUACACAAAGAAGCUUUCCUGACUGUAGCUUGUACUUCAGUGGGCAUCCAAGUGUACUUCAGAUUGGGCAUCCAAGGCACAGUGAGUAUUGGUUCCUGGAAUGACCUGUAUAAAGGAAAGCUGCAGCCCAGGCAGGUUUCUGCAGAGACAGAGCAGACAGACCAGGAGAAGAGCAGUGAAGGCUGUUGUCUGCAGAGGCCCAGGAAGGACGAAGCAGCUCGCUGCCACUUCUCGCUCACCGCCAUGCUGGAAGAAGAUAACGAUGAGACAUGUUGGAAUAGCCUGGAAAACUUUCGGGUGAAGCUGAUCUCUGUGAUAGAUCCUUCCCGUAUAACACCUUAUCUUCGCCAGUGCCAGGUGAUAAACCAUGAUGAUGAGGAACAGGUUCUCAAUGACCCCAGCCUGGUCAUGCGCAAACGCAAAGCAGGUGUUCUUUUGGACAUUCUUCAGCAAACAGGGCGCAAGGGCUUUGAGGCUUUCAUGGAGAGCCUCGAGCUUUAUUAUCCACAGCUGUAUAAGAAAAUAACUGGGAAGGAGCCAAGCAGGGUUUUCUCUCUGAUUAUAGACACAGCUGGGGAAUCUGGCCUGAGCCAGCUCCUGAUGAAUGAGAUUACAAAGCUGCAGAGAACGGUGCAGGAGGAGCGGCAGAAGGCCCAGGAGCUCACCGUGUGGCUGCACACCAAAGAGAACAUGAUCAGAGAGAUGUGGGUGAGGGACAGCCUGCUCCGCAAGCACCAAGAGCGGGUGCAGAAGAUGAAGGAGGAGAGGGACAGUCUGAGCAGGGAGCUGCGGAAGUGCAAGGAUGAGAACUACAGCCUGGCAAUGAGCUACGCCAGACAGAGCGAGGAGAAGAGCAGCGCCCUCAUGAAGAACAGGGACCUGCUGCUAGAGAUUGAUAGCUUGAGGCAUAGCCUCAUGAAGGCUGAGGAUGACUGCAAACUAGAGCGUAAGCACUCGAUGAAACUGAAGCAUGCCAUAGAGCAACGUCCGAGCCAUGAAGUGAUGUGGGAGAUCCAGCAGGAGAAGGAGUUGCUUUUGGCCAAGAAUCAGGAGCUGGAGAACACUCUCCAGCAGGUUGCCAGGGAACAGAAUUUGGAGAAGAGUCUCUCUUGUGAGACUGUGCAGAAGGAUACAGCCAGCCAGAUACCAGAGCGCCGGGACCUGCUGAACACCAUUUACCACCUUCGCAAGGAGCUGCGCCAAGCCGAGGUGCUCCGAGACAAAUGUGCAGAGGAAAAAGAGAUACUUGAACUACAGUGCACGUCUCUGAGGAAGGACUCCCAGAUGUAUAAAAGACGGAUGGAAGCUGUCUUACAGCAGAUGGAGGAAGUGGCCUCAGAAAGAGACCAGGCACUGCUGACCAGAGAACAGUUCUACGCACAGUACUCCAAGAACCUGAUGGAGAGGGACACCUAUCGGAAGCAGAUUCGGGAGCUGGGGGAGCGAUGCGAUGAGCUGCAGCUGCAGCUCUUCCAAAAGGAGAGUCAGCUACUGGCUACUGAAGCCAAGCUGAAAAGGCUGCAACUGGAGCUACCUGCACUGACUUCUGACCUGGAUGACACCUCCUCCAGAGAUUCCCAGGAUCUCACUCUUCAUGGUCGUCUAGAUGAAGAUACGCACCUGCCUAAAAAAGACUGCUGUGAAGAACAAAACCAGCAAUUCAGCAUUCGAGAAAGCAAUCUGCCUGCAGAAUCACCCUCUGUAAGAGCCCACAGCGAUUCUCUUUAGUCAGACUGGGGUCUGUAACUUUUCAUGUUCUUGUUGAUGAUGGAUUUACCAGGAAUGAGGGACACGGAGGCAGCUGCUGCUUUUCCGGAAAGCAUUUUGUGCAAAAGGGUGAACUCUGAACAGCUGAGCACUCAUCUGCUGGGUAUUUCUCAACUUUGCUUACAAACUUCUAAUUAUUUCUGGCCUUUUUCUCUGCAUGUGGACAUUUUUCAGUUUGUCUGCAAGUACCACUGUUGAUACAGGAAACAGAAUUUCAAAUUUGCAACUGAAAGAGAAUAGUAAGCAUGGUAAAACUGUGUUUGCAUCCUGGACACAAGAGCAGACAGCCCAGGAAUGAGCGUGCUGCACUGCAGGCCCAAGCAGAUAGAAAAGCUGGCUCUACACACCGGAGUACUUCCCAAACAACAGGCUGUGGUAGCAACCAGCUCUUCUUUGUCAUUUUAAGGCACAAGUUUCCAUUUUCUCCCCUUCUUUUCCAAGUGAAAUGAUUCGGGGCGCAAACAAAUCCAAGAGGGGCUCAGCAGUUUGAGGAGUGCAGCUCAGCCCACGAGGAGCUGUCGGAGAAGGA